rnacentral:rRNA from 1 species
AACGAACGCUGGCGGCGUGCCUAACACAUGCAAGUCGUGCGAGAAAGUUCCUUCGGGAGCGAGUAAAGCGGCGCACGGGUGAGUAACACGUAGGUAACCUGCCCCCCAGUCUGGAACAACUAGAGGAAACUCUAGCUAAUGCCGGAUGAGACCACGAUCCCUUCGGGGGUUGCGGCCAAAGAUGGCCUCUACUUGUAAGCUAUCGCUGAGGGAUGGGCCUGCGGGCCAUUAGCUUGUUGGUGAGGUAACGGCUCACCAAGGCUGUGAUGGCUAGCUGGUCUGAGAGGAUGACCAGCCACACUGGGACUGAGACACGGCCCAGACCUCCUACGGGAGGCAGCAG